AGCGAACGCUGGCGGCAGGCCUAACACAUGCAAGUCGAACGAAGUCUUCGGACUUAGUGGCGGACGGGUGAGUAACACGUGGGAACGUGCCUUUAGGUUCGGAAUAACUCAGGGAAACUUGUGCUAAUACCGAAUGUGCCCUUCGGGGGAAAGAUUUAUCGCCUUUAGAGCGGCCCGCGUCUGAUUAGCUAGUUGGUGGGGUAAUGGCUCACCAAGGCUACGAUCAGUAGCUGGUCUGAGAGGAUGACCAGCCACAUUGGGACUGAGACACGGCCCAAACUCCGACGGGAGGAAGCGGUGGGGAAUCUUGCGCAAUGGGCGAAAGCCUGACGCAGCCAUGCCGCGUGGAUGAUGAAGGUCUUAGGAUUGUAAAAUCCUUUCACCGGUGAAGAUAAUGACUGUAGCCGGAGAAGAAGCCCCGGCUAACUUCGUGCCAGCAGCCGCCGUAAAAC
rnacentral:rRNA from 1 species